rnacentral:rRNA from 1 species
UGAGGAAUAUUGGGCAAUGGACGGAAGUCUGACCCAGCCAUGCCGCGUGAAGGAUGAAGGCGUUCUGCGUUGUAAACUUCUUUUACCUGGGAAGAAACCACAGAUUUCUAUUUGUGUUGACGGUACCAGGGGAAUAAGCACCGGCUAACUCCGUGCCAGCAGCCGCGGUAAUACGGAGGGUGCAAGCGUUAUCCGGAUUUACUGGGUUUAAAGGGUGUGUAGGCGGACUUUUAAGUCUGGGGUGAAAUCUCCGAGCUCAACUCGGAAACUGCCUUGGAUACUAUUAGUCUUGAAUUAUGUUGAGGUUGGCGGAAUAUAACAUGUAGCGGUGAAAUGCAUAGAUAUGUUAUAGAACACCGAUUGCGAAGGCAGCUAACUAAGCAUAUAUUGACGCUGAGGCACGAAAGCGUGGGGAUCAAACAG